CGAUCAGGAUGAGAUUCGAACUCACGCGGGGAAACCCCACUGGAUUAGCAGUCCAUCGCCUUAACCACUCGGCCACCUAAUC
rnacentral:tRNA from 1 species